AUUGAACGCUGGCGGCAUGCCUUACACAUGCAAGUCGAACGGAUUCAGGGGCUUGCUCCUGAGUUAGUGGCGAACGGGUGAGUAAUGCAUCGGAACGUACCCAGUUGUGGGGGAUAACGUAGCGAAAGUUACGCUAAUACCGCAUACGACCUGAGGGUGAAAGCGGGGGACUCGCAAGAGCCUCGCGCAAUUGGAGCGGCCGAUGUCAGAUUAGCUAGUUGGUAGGGUAAAAGCCUACCAAGGCGACGAUCUGUAGCUGGUCUGAGAGGACGCCCAGCCACACUGGGACUGAGACACGGCCCAGACUCCUACGGGAGGCAGCAGUGGGGAAUUUUGGACAAUGGGCGAAAGCCUGAUCCAGCCAUGCCGCGUGAGUGAAGAAGGCCUUCGGGUUGUAAAGCUCUUUCGGACAGAAAGAAAUCGCACGGACUAAUACUUUGUGCGGAUGACGGUACUGUAAGAAGAAGCACCGGCUAACUACGUGCCAGCAGCCGCCGUAAGAC
rnacentral:rRNA from 1 species